AACAAACGCUGGCGGCGUGCCUAAUACAUGCAAGUCGAACGGGGAAAGCUUUCGGGUGAGUACUAGUGGCGCACGGGUGAGGAACGCGUGGAUAAUCUGCCUUAGAGUGGGGGAUAACUAGUCGAAAGAUUAGCUAAUACCGCAUAAGACCACGAGAGCUGCGGCUUUUGAGGUCAAAGGUUUUUCGCUCUAAGAUGAGUCCGCGUAAGAUUAGCUAGUUGGUGAGGUAACGGCUCACCAAGGCGACGAUCUUUAACUGGUCUGAGAGGAUGAUCAGUCACACUGGAACUGAGACACGGUCCAGACGCCUACGGGAGGCAGCAGUAGGGAAUAUUGCACAAUGGAGGAAACUCUGAUGCAGCGACGCCGCGUGAGUGAUGAAGGCCUUCGGGUCGUAAAGCUCUGUCGCAGGGGAAUAACACAAUGAAGGUACCCUGUAAGAAAGGAUCGGCUAACUUCGUG
rnacentral:rRNA from 1 species